ACAGAAGUAAGCAAUGGGCUGUUACUGGAGUCAGCAGCAUCUGUAGGACAGUGUCCUGCUUCCUUCAGAUGGAGGGGGGAAAUGACUGCCAGAUCCCGGAUUCCAAGCUAUGGGCACACAGGAUGUAAGUACCCUGACUGGGGAGGAGGCUGCUGGUUCUUGCUCUAGCCCUGAGUUGCUUUAUGGAUCCUUGUUUGUGCCAUGGAGCUCGCAUACUGAACUGCCUGAGGAGUGAUCUGGAACAUCGGGAUUAAGCUGGAUCACAGCCAAAGGUGUUGCCUGAGAGCUACUUGUUUCUGCUCAUGCUGGUCUGCAGUGACCAACUUCAUGGGAUAGGAACCUGGAGGAUGGGAGAAGCUCCAGGUCACAACCAAAGGCCACCUGACUACCUACCAAAACUCCUUGGUGGGCUCUUUCUGCCUUCAGCUUCUACAAAGGCUCCAGUUCAGGAGCUCUGAGAAUUGAUGCCCGUUUCCUUGCUGGAGCUGCCAUGCUCUCGG
rnacentral:lncRNA from 14 species